rnacentral:lncRNA from 1 species
GUGUAAGUCCUGGCACACCUAGAUGCUGGAAGUAUAAAACACUCUGGGAGAUGAGAACGAGCUGAAAGCUCAGACAGCAAACCUCAGCCCAAAUGUUCUUCAGCUCUGACGCUUUGUAACUCUCCUCACCAAAUAUCAGCCAGCAGCUCCCUUCAGAACUGUAAGGCUUGGAACACUUACUAAGGAGCUGCAACACUUCACUUCAAAGGCCAAAUAUCCAGUUAGCUGUGAGUCACAUCCCAUGUAUUGAUCUCAUGCCAUCUGGAAGCACAAGCUCAAACAACCAUCACCAUCACCCGCUGUGGAACUUCAAUAAAGUCAAACUGUCAAGAAGCAGGAGUGCUGUGCUACUGAGAAGUGGAGAUUUACUGUUUUCCCAGAGUAUUCACAGGGAUGAUUUUCAGGAAGAUGCAGUGUCUGCAAGAAUAUCGAAGAUCCUUCAGCUGUUUCUUCUGUGGCAUGAGUGAUCAGUUUUCAGGAUCUUUGCUUUAACUGUACCUGAAGGCAUCACAGCUAUAAACCUCUGCCUCGUCAUCUCUGCCCAAGACAGGCCUACAUUGCUCAUUAUAAAUUCUGCCAACAUUGUUAGAGAACAUAAUGGGGAAACAACCCUUUGAACCUGCUUCUGAGGCAAAAAAGUAACAUCUGCUCAUUUCUAGUGUCUUCUGGUAUCCUUUCAAUGAACCAAUUCAUUAUUAAUGAUAUUAUAUUUAUAGCCAAUUCAAUGGAAAUCAAUUCAUUAGGCUGAGAAGUUCUUCUGCAUGGCCAUCCUCGAAGCCUUAUCCUACUCAUUAAUUAAAGUCAGGUUUUGACACUAAUUACACUAGGAUCAUGCCCUAAAGAGAUUUAUGUAUAAGUCUUAGUCAUUACAGACUAUAGAUUAAACACAGAUUAAAAGAAGAAUGAAAAACCUCCAGAACUACCAAAGUUCUAUUUAAAUUCAAGUUUCAUCUGUACCAACUCCAGGAAACUUUUUGUCUGUUCCCUGUACACCAAUAGCUGCAGAAGUGGUUAAAAUGCCUUUUAGCCUGAAGAACCCCAUAAAGCUUUAAAAUCAGAAUCACUUGAACACGUCCUGAAGUGCAGCCUUCUUUGUGUUGAGAGGGAGCAGCUGCUCAGCUGUGCACUUCAACAGCAGCACACAGCAAUAUCAAUUCUGACUGACUGUAGCCACAAGGACAAAUUUAGGCAAAAUAAUGUGGCUGCCCAGAGUUCUGUUCCCCAUCGAAACUCUCACAAAGGCCUGCCAACAAAAAACUGAUCCCUAAUUUUCUUCUUUUUUCCUAUCCUUUCCUCCAAAGUAGAAGUGGGCUGCAACUGCAGUGUGUUGCAGCAUCAAUCCCCUC